AGAGUUUGAUCAUGGCUCAGAUUGAACGCUGGCGGCAUGCCUUACACAUGCAAGUCGAACGGUAACGGGCCUUCGGGCGCCGACGAGUGGCGAACGGGUGAGUAAUGUAUCGGAACGUACCUUUCAGUGGGGAUAACGUAGCGAAAGUUACGCUAAUACCGCAUAUUCUGUGAGCAGGAAAGCAGGGGAUCGCAAGACCUUGCGCUGAUUGAGCGGCCGAUAUCAGAUUAGCUAGUUGGUGAGGUAAAGGCUCACCAAGGCGACGAUCUGUAGCGGGUCUGAGAGGAUGAUCCGCCACACUGGAACUGAGACACGGUCCAGACUCCUACGGGAGGCAGCAGUGGGGAAUUUUGGACAAUGGGGGCAACCCUGAUCCAGCCAUGCCGCGUGAGUGAAGAAGGCCUUCGGGUUGUAAGGCUCUUUCGGCCGGGAAGAAAUCGUAUGGGUUAAUACCCUGUGCGGAUGACGGUACCGGCAUAAGAAGCACCGGCUAACUACGUG
rnacentral:rRNA from 1 species